rfam:Sarcophilus harrisii ctg7180002510409, whole genome shotgun sequence.
AAGCACAAAGGUUUGGUCCUGGCCUUACUGUUAAUUUUUAUUAGACCUACACAUGCAAGUUUCCGCAACCCGGUGAGUAUGCCCUUUUAAUUUUCAUAGAGUUUAAAGGAGCUGGUAUCAGGGACAUUUACAAAAGUAGCCCAUGACACCUUGUUUAACCACACCCCCACGGGUUACAGCAGUGACUAACACUGAGCUAUAAACGAAAGUUUGACUAAAUCAUAAUAAAAAGGGUUGGUAAAUCUCGUGCCAGCCACCGCGGUCAUAUGAUUAACCCAAAUUAACAGAAGAAUGGCGUAAAGGGUGUUUAAGCAUACAACCUACCAAAUAAAGUUAAAGCUCAACUGCGCUGUAAUACGCCCUAGUUGAUAUUAAAAUACACAACUUACGUGACUUUACCCAUGCUGAAGACACUAAAGCUAAGGCACAAACUGGGAUUAGAGACCCCACUAUGCUUAGCCGUAAACCAAGGUAAUUAAAUAACAAAAUUAAUCACCAGAGAACUACUAGCCACUGCUUAAAACUCAAAGGACUUGGCGGUGCCCUAGACCCUCCUAAAGGAGCCUGUUCUAUAAUCGAUAAACCCUGAU